GCUGGCAAUGGGGCAGGGGCUGACAACCUGCUGGAGGUGAUCAUUCAGUACCGGGGGCUCACCUGGAGCGUUGGUGGAAAAGAUGACAUUUCCAAAGUGACAACCCUUCCGAACAUCCUGCGUUACUUUAACACGAACCUGACGGGUUUCUCCACGGGCAUCGGCGAUGAGCAACACCCGCAAUCCUUCCUCAACCAGGGUGUCCCGGGCGCAAA